GUGGGACACAGCGUAGCGUGUGGUUGGAGGCGCCAAGGUGAUAGAACAGAUACAAGCAAAUAAAAUCGGGGAUUUAAUGAUUUAUUCAGCCUCUGACCCCGAGCACAGAGCACCUAACGGCUGACGUCACACAGUAGUUUGCAGUUUUCUUGCGUCUUUUGUUACAUCAAGCUAGUUUCCGUUUGCAACAUUCACGUCUGGUCACACAUAAACUCUCUCUAUUAUAACUCUGUGGCAUGAGGGUCUGUUUCUGUUUUUGGUCUGAAAUUAAGAAUGUCACAGUGGAAAACUAUAAAAAUACAAUCUACAGUUACAAUAAAAUAAUAUGUUUAAAAUAUUCAUAAGUGUGGCCCCUUGGCACAAAUUACCCCAACAACACCAUUUUGAAAAAAGGCAUCAUCCAACAGUUUUGAGUAUCGACUCACAGUCUAGCUUACCAAAUCUCUAACACAUCUGUGAAAUGUUUUCAGACUUUUCUAUAACUGUUCAUACGCAACAAUCAAAAACCAAAUCACCCCACUUUCCCCUGUGCCAAAUAAUAGCAGCUGAUCUUCACAGCUACCUGAUCCGUUUACAUAUUCCACUCUCCGUGAUCAGCAGGUGUUAAACAGCUGACAGGUGAACAGGAUGUUUGCAG
ensembl:lncRNA